UACGAAGGGAGCUAGCGUUGUUCGGAAUCACUGGGCGUAAAGCGCACGUAGGCGGGUCUUUAAGUCAGGGGUGAAAUCCUGGAGCUCAACUCCAGAACUGCCUUUGAUACUGAAGAUCUUGAGUUCGGGAGAGGUGAGUGGAACUGCGAGUGUAGAGGUGAAAUUCGUAGAUAUUCGCAAGAACACCAGUGGCGAAGGCGGCUCACUGGCCCGAUACUGACGCUGAGGCACGAAAGCGUGGGGAGCAACAGG
rnacentral:rRNA from 1 species